rnacentral:rRNA from 1 species
UACGUAGGGUGCGAGCGUUGUCCGGAAUUAUUGGGCGUAAAGGGCUCGUAGGCGGUUUGUCGCGUCUGCUGUGAAAACUCGAGGCUCAACCUCGGGCUUGCAGUGGGUACGGGCAGACUAGAGUGCGGUAGGGGAGACUGGAAUUCCUGGUGUAGCGGUGGAAUGCGCAGAUAUCAGGAGGAACACCGAUGGCGAAGGCAGGUCUCUGGGCCGCAACUGACGCUGAGGAGCGAAAGCAUGGGGAGCGAACAGG